GAGAGCGAGAGACUCGCCAUCAGUAGGUUUUUACCCAAAUGAAACCAGAAAAAUGAAAAGAAGAAAAGAAAAAGGAGAGAGAGAGAGAGAGAGGGAGGGAGAGAUCGUAGCAAGAAAAAGAAUGGAAGAUGAAAAAAAUGUAAAAAUCGAAGAUCUGAUCUUCAAUCGAUCUUGACAUCGCCAGGGGAGAUUGGUGAUGUUGCCUCACCUCUUCAUCAACACAUGGAAGGCUGCUCGUCAUAUGGGUGCUCAUCGAAUGCAUGUGAUCCUUCGACCAGCUGCAAUCCACGUGAAGCAGGUUCACAUGUUGCAAUGGAAGGGAGUUGCCAAUCUGCAAAUAAUAGUGGUGAUGUUGCUAACCUGUGCAAGGUUAA